rnacentral:lncRNA from 1 species
UUUUAUUUUUAAUUUCGUUUUUUUUUUACAAAAACAGAAAAAUAAAAACAGAAAAAUAAAAAUAGAAAAUAAGAACAAAAAAGUAAAAACAAAAAUAUAAAAACAGAAAAAUAAAAACACCCCUCAGUAGGUGUUAAUUUUCUUUGCUUGAUAUUCUUUUCUUCUUUUUCCUCCUGCUGAAUUCUUUCAUAAAGUUGAGAACACCAAGCACAUGUUUCCAUGUUUCAACCAUAGGAACUUUAAUCUCCAAUUUCUUGAAGAUCUCCAUCGUGAAUUUCUUUCCCUUCCUAUGAUUUUUCUUUUUAUGAGGAGUGGGUUUUUUUAUGUGAUCUUUUCUUCUUUCCCCUCUUCCUCUUUUUCUCAACCUUCUCCUUCAACAUUCUCUUUUUCUCUUUUCUUCUUUUUUUCUUUAUUUUCGCAUAUCUUUUCUUUUUUUCUUUUUUCUCAACCACUGCUUCUUCUCCCUCAUCAUCUUUAUCUUCCUCAACCAACUUCUCUUCAUAUAUCUCUAUCUCUUCUUCCUCUAUAUUCUCCUCCUUGACAACCUUAUCAUUUUUAGAGAUAGUGGCUUGAUAUUCUUCUUCAAGGUUAACUUCAGUAUUAUCCCUAAUAAUGCCCAAAGACUUCAAUAUGCAAGAGUGUUGUUACUGCAAUAAACGUUCUUGUGCUUCCCCCAACGUUUCUUUUGGCAAGAAGAAUAGUUUCUAUAGUAAAACUCGUUCAGCUUCUCCCAAUGUUUCUUUUGACGAGGAGAGUUCCUGCCAUAAACGUUGC